rnacentral:rRNA from 1 species
CAGUCGUACCUUCGGGUAAUCAGCCUUUCGGGUGCGAUUCUGUGGAGUGUGAGGAGCUUAACACCUUCAUGCUUUGCAUAUUUGUGCUCUUGGGUGUACUUGCCCGUGUGGUUGGUUAACAUCAAUUUUGAUUAUCAUAAAAUGACUGGAGGAAUGUAGCUUCGAUCUCGUAUUGAAGUGUUAUAGCCUUUGGUAGAUGUGAUGUUUGAGACCGAGGAUUGCAACGGAUACCCUUCAGGGCUAUUCGUCUGAUCUCUGAUACGUUGCCCUGAUGUUGAAAGCUUGCUUAUGAUGUUAGGGUAUUACGGUCAAAAGGUUAGAACUCAUUAGA